UCCAUGAGGUUUACCGCAUAGUUCAGCUGUCACAUUACAUGGACGGUAAUGAACACACCCCUUUCCGUGACACAGGGGCACCCGGUUCAAUUGCAAUCACCCUAAGUGCAUUGAUUGGCGCAUAGCUUGACCAUUUCUGUGCGUGCACUGCUCAUAUCAGGACAGCCCGGCUUCAACGUCAGUAAGCCAAUGGAGCGCCCACGAUCUGGCACACUGUGUUUGGGACUGGCACGCUGGGUAAACAGAUGACGGCUAAGUAGGUUGUGAUAAUGCAAUGAACCGUUUGCCCUGCCGCUAUGUAUUGUUUCUGAUCUACCACUAAAACAAGGUGAUGUGAUACAUGUCAGAAUUUGUUUAUUUUACUCACCAAAGAAACUGGACAGCUACCAGGAAAUGCUUUCUUUUUCUUCAGUUGAGGGCUCUGGAUCCAAGUUUACAUGAUGACCUUUACAACAGAAGCUUUGUGAUACUGAUAGCAGGACUAUUUGCACAGGUCAAACAUCCUUACAAAGAUACCUGGACUUGAACUAAAGGAAGCCAGCCUGUUCCAGUGUACAGGGGCAGGGCCUAUGGGAUGUUUUGAAGUUCUGAGGCGUGGGCCCAAGUUACUAGUCACAACUGAUAAAUGCAUUCUGUGUGGACAAGGAUUUGCCUUUAAGGUCUAAUAGAGAUGCCAAACUGGAAUAGAUGGGACAUGUGGAAUGAUAAUUCCUGGGCUGGAGAAAUGGAUUAGUGACAGAUGUGAGCAGGUGAAAACUCCAACAAACUUAGCCAGUGACAACUACCACCAUACCAGUAUAUCAGGAAAUGUUUUGUCCUAGGGUUCUUAUCCAAAGUAAAAGAAGCCAAGCAUGAUGUUUGUUUCAAGUAAGGAUAUAACCAUAUAGUAAUAAAGGUAUACUGAUAUAGCUAUGAUAUAUCAUGUAAAGAAAUGCUAUUUUCAGGGACAAGUAAAAGUUAUCAAAGACAUGAAAAAGUGUUUUGAAAUAAAUCACUUCACAGCUGCAAUAGGUGCAUGCAUUCUAUAUUGACUGCUUCUAUAAGUUGUAUAUCAAUAAACAGCAAUACAUGCAUGUUACAUGUACGUUAUAUAAAGAUAUGUCUAUUUUGCUAUCAAUACAAUGAAAUUAUUAAAAUGGCACAAAGCUGAAGUCAGCAUCAUUGUCAGUUAAUUGUUACAAGCAUGUCAAGUAUUUGGUGGUAUGCUUUGCUGUCACACUUAUCAAGUUACAUAUCAGUUUUUGAUUGAUGAUGAAUUGUCACCACGAUUUAUCAAUAUGAUAUGGUCUAGCAACAUCCUUCAUAUCCAUGAUGAUACUUAUAGCCAAACUUUUACCAUGGCCAUACUUAACCAUGCUACUUGUACAGCUUUAUUGAUCUGAAACUGUCUACCCACAACUGAGAAAUAUGUCCAGUGGCAUGUGAGGUUAUGUGUGAUGAGACCUCUAGGACCUGUGGUAUUUCACACAUAGUAGUAACCUUAUCU